CAAAGCAAAGAGGCUUUCCCCUCUGGGUCUGGGAGAAUGGUGAUCAGGUUUCACUGGAGAAGCUAGGAAACUGCAAGCUUACACACUGGGGGAAGGAAGCCACUAUCAGCUCCAUCUUCCCUGCAAUCUAAUGAAUUCCUGUGAAUUCAGUCUCCUCUGACUGCUCCACUGGCACCUCCAGGUUUGCUUGCUUCUUGUCUCUUGGUGUCCUCCUGCUCCCAUGGUUUGCUUUCUGGGAUUGUUGAAGAGCAGGAAAUCACCAAAGAUACACUGCAGCCUCUCUGCUGGCUAAUGAGUUCUGCUGGCUGCCAAAGAAGAGAGCUCCUACUGAACUUGUGGGGGUUAUUUGAUUCAUUGAGCAGGCCUUCACCAGUCACUGGCUUAAUACAAUAUGUAAAUAAAAAGAGAAAAGUAGCAUCUGCAGAAUAGGAGGCAUUUAAUGGCACCAGACAAGCUAGUCAUAGUAGACUUCGUACCUCCAUGGACUUGAAUAAUAAAAAUGUGUGUAUGUCAGCUGUGUCUGAAAACAGUAUGUGACAGAGAAACUUUUGGAGAAGCUGUAGGAAUACAAAUGAAUAUGGUGUAUGAUGAGGAGAGGACGGGGAGGGAAGGGUUGCCAUUUUCCAAGCUUAGAAAUAAACUGUUAACCUGUUUAAAGCUUUCAACAUAAGGUGUGAGUUUUCCUUCCUUUUAUAGGCAUUGGAGCUCCUGAGAAGAAUAACAAUAAUUCAUAUUUAUAAGUUUGCAGCAUGGUGUAGUAGAG